rnacentral:rRNA from 1 species
AGUGAACGCUGGCGGUAGGCCUAACACAUGCAAGUCGAACGGCAGCACAGAGGAGCUUGCUCCUUGGGUGGCGAGUGGCGGACGGGUGAGGAAUACAUCGGAAUCUACUCUGUCGUGGGGGAUAACGUAGGGAAACUUACGCUAAUACCGCAUACGACCUACGGGUGAGAGCAGGGGAUCUUCGGACCUUGCGCGAUCGAAUGAGCCGAUGUCGGAUUAGCUAGUUGGCGGGGUAAAGGCCCACCAAGGCGACGAUCCGUAGCUGGUCUGAGAGGAUGAUCAGCCACACUGGAACUGAGACACGGUCCAGACUCCUACGGGAGGCAGCAGUGGGGAAUAUUGGACAAUGGGCGCAAGCCUGAUCAGCCAUACCGCGUGGGUGAAGAAGGCCUUCGGGUUGUAAAGCCCUUUUGUUGGGAAAGAAAUCCAUCUGGUUAAUACCCGGGUGGGAUGACGGUACCCAAAGAAUAAGCACCGGCUAACUUCGUGCCAGCCGCCGCCGUAA